CCUACGGGUGGCAGCAGUCGAGAAUUUUUCACAAUGGGGGAAACCCUGAUGGAGCGACGCCGCGUGGGGGAUGAAGGGCUUCGGUUCGUAAACCCCUGUCAUUGGCGAACAAGUGUUGCGUCCUAAUACGGCGCAACUUGAUAGUAGCCGAAGAGGAAGGGACGGCUAACUCUGUGCCAGCAGCCGCGGUAAUACAGAGGUCCCGAGCGUUGUUCGGAUUCACUGGGCGUAAAGGGUGCGUAGGUGGUUGGUUAAGUUUGAGGUGAAAGCUCCGAGCUCA
rnacentral:rRNA from 1 species